ACUCCUACGGGAGGCAGCAGUAGGGAAUCUUCCACAAUGGGCGCAAGCCUGAUGGAGCAACACCGCGUGAGUGAAGAAGGGUUUCGGCUCGUAAAGCUCUGUUGUUAAAGAAGAACACGUAUGAGAGUAACUGUUCAUACGUUGACGGUAUUUAACCAGAAAGUCACGGCUAACUACGUGCCAGCAGCCGCGGUAAUACGUAGGUGGCAAGCGUUAUCCGGAUUUAUUGGGCGUAAAGAGAGUGCAGGCGGUUUUCUAAGUCUGAUGUGAAAGCCUUCGGCUUAACCGGAGAAGUGCAUCGGAAACUGGAUAACUUGAGUGCAGAAGAGGGUAGUGGAACUCCAUGUGUAGCGGUGGAAUGCGUAGAUAUAUGGAAGAACACCAGUGGCGAAGGCGGCUACUGGUCUGCAACUGACGCUGAGACUCGAAAGCAUGGGUAGCGAACAGGA
rnacentral:rRNA from 1 species